UACGUAGGGUGCAAGCGUUGUCCGGAAUUAUUGGGCGUAAAGAGCUCGUAGGCGGUCCGUCACGUCGGCUGUGAAAACUCAGGGCUCAACCCUGAGCCUGCAGUCGAUACGGGCGGACUAGAGUAUGGCAGGGGAGACUGGAAUUCCUGGUGUAGCGGUGAAAUGCGCAGAUAUCAGGAGGAACACCGGUGGCGAAGGCGGGUCUCUGGGCCAUAACUGACGCUGAGGAGCGAAAGCGUGGGGAGCGAACAGG
rnacentral:rRNA from 1 species